rnacentral:piRNA from 1 species
UAGGCACGGAGUAGCAGGACAAC